rnacentral:rRNA from 1 species
GACGAACGCUGGCGGCGUGCUUAACACAUGCAAGUCGAACGGAAAGGCCCUGCUUUUGUGGGGUGCUCGAGUGGCGAACGGGUGAGUAACACGUGAGUAACCUGCCCUUGACUUUGGGAUAACUUCAGGAAACUGGGGCUAAUACCGGAUAGGAGCUCCUGUUGCAUGGUGGGGGUUGGAAAGUUUCGGCGGUUGGGGUUGGACUCGCGGCUUAUCAGCUUGUUGGUGGGGUAGUGGCUUACCAAGGCUUUGGCGGGUAGCCGGCAUGGGAGGGUGACCGGCCACAUUGGGACUGCGAUACGGCCCAGACUCCUACGGGAGGCAGCGGUGGGGAAUAUUGCACAAUGGGCGGAAGCCUGAUGCAGCAACGCCGCGUGCGGGAUGACGGCCUUCGGGUUGUAAACCGCUUUCGCCUGUGACGAAGCGUGAGUGACGGUAAUGGGUAAAGAAGCACCGGCUAACUACGUG